UGGGUGCUUGUUCAAAAAGGUAAUGCCAGCUAUGUUUACACAUCCUGUUUUUAACAUGCCCUUUUUAAAAACUUACCCCAUUUGGGUUUCUUUACAGUCUAGUCUUUCCUCUGUAGUUCUGUCUCUAGUGACCAUGACAUCACUAGAGGCCGGGCUACAGAAGAAAGAAGACAGUGUACAGAAGCCCAGACAGAUAAGUGUCCAGCUCUUUACACCAUACAUCCAUUUAUAUAAAUGGCUGUAUACUGUAUAGCCCAGAAGGAGUUAAGUAGCGAUGCUCAGCAUUACAAGUUAACUUCUUCAGCGCUGGGCCAGUGCAGAGCGCUCAUCUCAGCAGUGGGGGACAAAAUCCAGUGAUACAGUAGAUAGACAUCCCUUGAUAGUGUCUGUCCCCAAAGAGUUAAGGAGUGAUGCACUGCAUUACUGUUUAACUUUUUCCUGGCCAGGCUGGAGGUAUACAAUAUAAACCUCUUUUCCAGAUGAGCUGUACAGAUCUGUAUACUGUACUCCGCUAUGCACGGCUGUAUACAGUACAUCCACAGAAUCUAUCAUUCCGUGAGCUUGUAGAGCAGAUCCUGACUGGCAUGGGCUGUGCGACUUUUUAAGCAUUUUUUUUCAAAAGUCGCAUAUAGUUCAUCCCAGCGUAAAUAAUAUGCUACUAUAACAACUCUCACUCUCUGCCCACAAAACGCCCUCUCACCGUCUCCUGGAUUCACAAGUGCAGAUGGCAGAAAACAGGUGAAUACAUGCAGUGUGUGCGGCAUGAAAAAUGUAGGAUGAUUUUGGCCCUAAUACAUGACCCCCUAGAUGUCAUUUUGUCCUCCACUUGGGAUGUUUGAAUACGCAUUUGCUAAAUGGAAUAGCACAGACCUCAGCAAUAUUCCAUUUAGCUGAAUCCUGCAAAAAAUUAUACUGUGCAGCAUUUUAUGAUGGAUGACGCCAAGUGGCAUGGGUAAUAGCUAGACAUUGAGGAAUCCCCUGACAAAUAUGACAUAUGGUUACUAACUGCAGUGUGAACCCAGUUUAAUUCCUCGUCUUCUGCUGUGAUAUUAUUUAAAGACUCUAUAAAUUAGGACAAUCCAUGAUUUUGCCACAGUUGAUGCAAACUACAAGAUAACAGCAUAGCACGAUCCUGCCAUUGACUUCAAUGGGUACCAUGUGACUGCACAGACAAGUGAAGCCUGGACUGGGAAAAUAUACAAAAGAAAACCGUCCAGUCCCCUGACCUUCUUCCAGCCUCCGAGAAGAAGACUUGGUGCGGGACUCUACCGACUCAGCAAAUUAGAAGAUAAAAGAACGGGAGACCAAAUGGAGACAACCGGGAGCUGCAGGGGAUCAGGGUUCGGAAAUCAUUUUCAAUAUGGAUGUAAAAGAGAUCCCUAAUAACGUGCAAACAUCAUCUGUAGCUGCAACACCGGGACCUGUGAAAAGAACUCUAACACCUGAUGGCAUCUCUGUUUCCUGAAUGGGCUACAGGUGAGGAGUGAUUCGCUGUCAAUCAAGAUACAUUGAGGUCUGACCACUUUCUCUGACACAGUUUAUGCAGACAAGAAGUGCCCAGAGUACGAGAUCCUACGCAUUAAAGGAUGUGAUGUGACCAAAAAUCUACUUCUAUGGUCUGUCAGAAGGAGAAGGAAGGAGCUGGUAAGGCUUCAGCCGCCAUCUUGACCCAUUGGACCUAUGCAAUUGAAUCAAUGGGUGGUCUGAUGAGUCUCUCAAAGCACCCCGUAUGCCAGUGGUCUCCAAUCUGCGGACCUCCAGAUGGUGAAAAACUACAACUCCCAGCAUGCCCGGACAGCC